rnacentral:rRNA from 1 species
UACGAAGGGGGCGAGCGUUGUUCGGAAUUACUGGGCGUAAAGGGCGCGCAGGCGGCGAGUUUUGUCAGGCGUGAAAGCCCCGGGCUCAACCUGGGAACUGCGCUUGAAACGGGCUUGCUGGAGACCGGGAGAGGAGAGUGGAAUUCCCAGUGUAGAGGUGAAAUUCGUAGAUAUUGGGAAGAACACCGGUGGCGAAGGCGGCAUCCUGGACCGGUAUUGACGCUGAGGCGCGAAAGCCAGGGGAGCAAACGGG